GCCUUUGUAGCUCAGUGGCAGAGCGCGCCUUUCGUAAGGGUGAGGUCGGCGGUUCAAUCCCGUCCGGAGGCA
rfam:Trichosporon oleaginosus strain IBC0246 unplaced genomic scaffold CC85scaffold_12, whole genome shotgun sequence.